AAAACUUAAGAAAGAAUAAUAAUUCUAUUAAUUU
rnacentral:tRNA from 1 species